rnacentral:lncRNA from 1 species
AUUGGAAAGCCACACGUUUAUUUUUAGUCUUUUCCCCAUCUCUCUCUCCUCCCUGUAUCUGCUCUCCUCUCUUCAUUGAAAUAUGAAGUGAGCCACAUCCAAUCUGUAGCCUUUCUAAGGUUCUAGCUCUAAGUGCGAGCUCACCAUAGAGACCAGAGUUACCAACAAUAGAAAAUACUGUGUCCAUGACAACCAGAAAACCCAAGGCAGUAGUUGAUUUUAACCGUCUAGUUCUAACCUUGUUAUUUAAAUUCCUCUUUUCCUCAAGGGCUGUACUUACUGCUUUAUAUAAAAGGCAGGCACACCGCUACACAGACAGCAAAAUUUCCGUACUGUCUGCUGGAAGAGGUAGACAUCAAUUACAGACCCCAACAGGAAGACAUCAGUUACUGGCCCCAAUGGGAAGAGACAUACCUUGCAUUCCCAAACAGGAAGUGGAGCUAUUUUACUACUCCAGCAGGAGGAAGGAAGUCUUCCUUCUUGCCCAGCAAUAAGCCAAGCCAAUGAGAAGCCAUCUUCACCUGAACUUUUACUUUCCUCCAGUGAACUUUCAUUAUUUCCUUGAGAUGACUUCCUUUCCUCGUCCCACCCUCCUUGCUAUAAAAGCCUUCCAUGUUGUGUAACCCCUCAGAGUGUCUCUGCUUGCUAGAUCAGAGGCUGCCCCAUGCAUGAAUGCUUCAAUAAAGCCAAUUAGAUCUUCAAAUUUACUUAGUCGAAUUUUGGUUUUUGACAAUACUAACUCACUCGCCACCCACUGGGGUUUCACCCUCAGAAGCACACACACAAAGCUCUCCAGUAAACAGUUAGUCAUCUACUCAAGCAACCUUAAGGGAAAACAAAUACCAAGCUCCAACAUGUAAAGAGCUUGGAAGUCAUCAUACCCAUGUGCACCAGAAAAAGCUAGACAAAUGGAAGAUAACUGACUGUUUUUGGAACUGUCAGAGAACUGAAGUCACAAGGCAAACCACUACGCCAAAUUCCGGAGAGACAGAUGCGUCCAGAAUUAUAGCUCCCGAGAUUUGCUGACCUGGAGUAGAAGCCAUUGGAAUCAACAAGCUGGUAGCAGCAGUUAAAUUGUUAUUUUGACGAACUGCAGGAAUCUGGGCGCAGACGUGCGUGAGAGUGAGACGCUCCGGUGGGCACCUACAGCCAUGGGGGUACCAAACUCACAUGGACUGUCACUCCAGGAACCUCACCAGGUUCCCACAGGGAUGAUCUGAGAAAGAUCCCCUCCUAGUCUGCAUGGGAGUAGGCAUCUUCAAGCUCACCUAGGCUCUUUUUUUUUUAAAUUGGUACCUAAGCUAACAUCUGUUGCCAAUCUUUUUUUUUUUUUCCUUCUUCUCCCCAAGCCCCCCAACACAUAGUUGUAUAUUCUAGUUGUAGGUACUCCUGGUUGUGCUAUGUGGGAUGCUGCCUCAGUGUGGCCUGAUGAGCGGUGCCGUGUCCACACCCAGGAUCCGAACUGGCGAAACCCUGGGCUGCCAAGUGGAGCGCAUGAACUUAACCACUCCACCACAGGGCUGGCCCCUCGCCCAGGCUCUUAUCCCUAACAAAGGCCCAGUCUCCAGGUGGAAAGAAGGCCUUACCUAUGGAAAAACAAAGAUGACAGCCGGCUUCUCAUCAGAGACCAUACAAGCAAAAAGAAAGUGGAGUGAAACCUUUAAAGUACAGAGAGAAAUUGCCAGACUAGGGACUGGCCCCGUGGCCGAGUGGUUCAGUUUGUCCACUCCGCUGUGGUGGCCCAGGGUUUUGCAGGUUUGGAUCCUGAGCAUGAACAUGGCGCCACUCAUCAAGCCGUGGUGAAGCGGCAUCCCACAUCCCACAAGUAGAAGGACCCACAACUAAAAAUACAUACAACUAUGUACUGGGGGAGAAGAAGGAAAAAGAAAUCUUUGAAAGAAAGAAGAAAGAAAGAAAGAAAUUGCCAGACUAGAAUUUUAUAUCCAGAGAAGUUAUCCUUCAAAAGUGAAGGAGACAUAAAUAUUUUCCCAGACAAGCAAGAACAUCAUUGCAGCAGGAAAUGUUAAAGAAGUUCUUCAGGAAGAAAACGAAUUAGGUCCGAAACUUGAAUGUACGCAAAGAAAGGAAGAGCACCAGAGAAGCAACAAAUGAAGGAAGAUUAGCCCUGAGCUAACAUCUGCUGCCAAUCCUCCUCUUUUCGCUGAGGAAGACUGGCCCCAAGCUAAUGUCCGUGCCCAUCUUCCACUACUUUAUAUGUGGGAUGCCUGCAACAGCACGGCUUAACAAUCAGUGCAUUGGUCUGCACCCCGGAUCUGA